CUCCCCUUUGUUCCUUUCUUCCGCUUCUCCUAUUGAGUUAGAUUUUUCCUCUCUCUUAAGAGUUGUUAUGACUUUUUGUGGUUUGAUCAAGUAGCCAUGCCUUUGAACUGGAUUGGUCAGCUUUUGAUCUGCAUAUAUAAAACUCCACAAAUCAAAUAUAUGAAUUUCCUUUGCUAUACUAUUGCAGCUUUUGUCUCCACCAUUGAUUAAUGAACUACUGCACAAUAUUUCUCCACUGCAAACCUAUGCAAAUCCAUAAACAAAGAUUUAGCAAAGCCCUGCCAGAAGACAUUUAGUGCUGUCAUCGAUAUUCACUCUACUGUCAGGGAUAUUAAACUGAGAAGAAAGACCUGGCACACUUACUUCCUCUUGAAGCUUUGAUAGUAUGUUGGCUACAGCUUAGCAGUGUGAAAAAUAGUGUUGCACAGCAAGCAAAACCAGGGAAUUUUCUUCUUGUCAAUUUAGAAAUGUUGUGAGGAAAGUCAGCUUUAGACUACAUAGGCUUUGCAGAUUAGAAGGACUGCAGUUUUUGUUUCAUUUACUAAGUAAAAAUUUACCUCGUUUCUUUUGUCAACAUGGACUAUACUGUUACAGGGCACUGGACUUUAGGAGGCUGUUUUAGUUCUCAGAAUCCCAAGGGCUCUUGUUCAAUUUCAUCCCUUUACCUGUGCAGUAGUAUUAAUGAGCAAAUGUGCAAAACAUCUAAUUUUAACAUACUCAGUAGACAGCAAUGAACCUGGAAGAAAGGAACAGAUUUAUAAGGAGUGUAUAUAUAUAUGUAUAUGUAUAUGUGUAUAUAUAUAUAUAUAUAUAUAUGUAAGAGUUCUAAGUAUUAGCAACUAGAAAGAUAGCAGAUGAUAGCAGGUGAUUUCAUCCCUCUAUUCUUCCCUGCAAGUCCCCAUCUGGAGUUCUGUAUCAGUUCUGCAAGGAAGACUCGGACCCAAAGCAGCAAAUCAGUGUAGAACCAGAAAGAUGAUUAAGGGAUAGGAGAAUGGAUCACAUAAGGAGAGGCUGAGAAAGCUAGGAAUCCAGACUAGAGAAGAUUCUAGAAGGGGUCUUACAAGUGUGUAUAAAUACCUGAUUAGAGAGGGCAAAGAAGAUAGAAGCAGACUCUUCUCAGUGGUGCCCAGUAAAGGAACAAGAGGCAAUAGGUAUCAACUGAAACACAGCAAUUCUGUUUAAAUAUUAAAAGCCAAAAAAUAGUCCUGAGAGUGAUUAAGUACUUAGACAGGUUGCCAAGAGAGGAUUUGGAGUUUCCAUCCUCAGAGGUAUUAAAAACUUAGGAGAAUAUGGCCCUAAUCAAUCUACUCUAACACACCUUUGUGCAGUGGAGUUAAGGUAGAUGAUGUAGGUCCCCUUACGCUGUUCCACAAUUCUGCAAUUCUUUGAAGAAGGGAGAUGCUUGGGACUUGCUGAGUGACAGUUUUAAAUUAUUACUCUUAAUGUGGAUUGUCUGUAAGUAGAAAUGAAUGAGUUUAAGUACUGCAAGUCAGCAGAAAGAAGUGUACCUUGAUUUAAGGCUAGAGGGUAGAAAUAUUCCUUUAACAAUUUGACACAUUUCCUUGACAAUUUGAAAGAUAAGAUUCUAAAAUUCUAACUAAAUUGAGAUGAAAGGCAUUCUGGCUGUAUCACCUAUCUAACCACUCAAAAAUAGUUGAGAGUCACAUUUAACCAGAAGGUGAAAGUCAUACAGAUUGUAACAAUUAACCAGAUAAGUAACCUCCAGAAACCACUUUUCCUUAAAAUACUAUCAAGUUUCAAAUACAUCUGGGCUUUUCACACAUACUACUCAAUGUUUCUACUACCUCUCCUAACUUCGUAUUUCUAUUAGACAGUGGUUAUUUUCUCCCUGAUUAUAAAAUUUGUGACAUCAGUCAGAAAGUUUCAAUAUAUAUUUUUUCCCUGCUUGGAAUUAAUGAGGGAAGUUUCCAGAGCACACGAGUUGACUGGUGACUAGGGAGAUGCUUCUUACUAUGCUGCAUUGGAUAGAGGAGGUGGUCUUGAUUCUCAUCUGUUUUAUUGCUAUCUGUUCAAUCAUUUAUACUGUUUAAGACACUGACAUAAAACUCUUUUUGCGGACUUUAAGUAACAUUUAAUACCGCUGCAGUCACUUGCUUGACUCUUUCCACUCUCAGAAGCCAAAUGGCUGGCUAAUGUAAAUUGCCAUGGCUCCGCAUUCUUUGUUAGCAAUCAUAAAAGUUUGGUCCUUAAUUAUUUUACUGCUUUAAAGCAGAAGAAAUUUUGUGAGCUUUCUACUUUGUUUAAAUAAGAACUGUGAAGCGCAGCUGGAAAACUUUAAGUUUGCUUUGUAAUUCUGUGUUUUAACUGAAAUCUCAGAAAUAUGCUGCACCUUCCAGGGUUCUAUGAUAAUACAUGUCUUAGCAAUUUUAUUGGAAUGUUAAUAAUGUCAUAUAUAGAAAGCUUCAGAAACUGAGAGUAAAUAUGGGUAUUAUUCAUCCUCAGCAAUUAAUUAUAUAGUUAAAAAGUUAUGGAAUUACAUUAAUUACGUAAUUGACUUAAUUUUUAAAUGAAAGCUGCUAAAGUGUUUAGAAAGAACAACAGAUUUGUAAUAUAACA